rnacentral:misc_RNA from 1 species
GAUGAAGAACGUAGCGAAAUGCGAUAAGUAAUGUGAAUUGCAGAAUUCAGUGAAUCAUCGAAUCUUUGAACGCACAUUGCGCCCCUUGGUAUUCCGAGGGGCAUGCCUGUUCGAGCGUCAUUAUAACCCUCAAGCUCAGCUUGGUGUUGGGGCCUGCUGCAGUGGCAGCCCUUAAAAUCAGUGGCGGCGCCAUCUGGCUCUAAGCGUAGUAAUUCUUCUCGCUAUGGAGUCCUGGUGGAUGCUUGCCAUCAACCCCCAAUUUUUCUAUGGUUGACCUCGGAUCAGGUAGGAAUACCCGCUGAACUUAAGCAUAUCAAAAGCGGAGGA